AACCUUAUGGACCUGCGGGCGUAUACCUGCGGAAGGAUCAUUACCUAGAGUUGUAGGCUUUGCCUGCUAUCUCUUACCCAUGUCUUUUGAGUACCUUACGUUUCCUCGGUGGGUUCGCCCGCCGGUUGGACAAAACUUAAACCCUUUGUAGUUGCAAUCAGCGUCUGAAAAAACUUAAUAGUUACAACUUUCAGCAACGGAUCU
rnacentral:misc_RNA from 1 species